rnacentral:rRNA from 1 species
UACAGAGGUCCCAAGCGUUGUUCGGAUUCACUGGGCGUAAAGGGUGCGUAGGCGGUUGGGUAAGUCUGACGUGAAAUCUUCAAGCUUAACUUGGAAAUGGCGUCGGAUACUAUUCGGCUUGAGGAUUGGAGGGGAGACUGGAAUUCUCGGUGUAGCGGUGAAAUGCGUAGAUAUCGAGAGGAACACCAGUGGCGAAGGCGAGUCUCUGGACAAUUCCUGACGCUGAGGCGCGAAAGCGAGGGGAGCAAACAGG